AGCUCAGUCCAUCUCACAGUCUCUAGUGCUGUGCAAUCCUUGUGUUGGAAAAAAGUCCGUGUUCUCUGGCAGGGCAGGGUUUUUCCAACUUUUUCCAUAAUGUACGUCUUAUUUUAAGGGAAAAUUGUCUCAUUGAGUUUAUCUCCUCCCAUUCACGGUCACGUGGACUACUGCUUUCUGGUAAUGAAAUCCGUAGUUUGCAAACACUAGAGCAAUUAUCUCCAUGGAAAAGUUCUGAUAGGAAAAGAGUAUUAUUUUAACCUUCUUUAUUAUGAUUUAGCAGCUGGAAACAAGGAAAAUAUCCAAGACUACUGUGCUACUCAUCUGUCUGCAGACUGUCAGCAGCGACUCCGCAGACAAAGCUGGGAAGCAAGUUACAUGUAAUAAGUAUUUGGAUGUGUUUUCAGGAAUGGGAGAGACAGAAGCUCCAGGGAAGCACAUGAAGUCUAUUGCAUCCUUCCCAUUUCACAGCAAGCUCAUUGGAGACCCCCAAAGGACCCAGUUGCCUAACCAUGCAGAGCCAGAUUGUGUGUCUGGAAAUCCUUUUGGAUUGGCACAUCCCUGGGUUGCCUCCCUGGUAUCCUGCAGGCUCUUUCCCACUCCAGUAGCACAUCUCCUACAGCCACUGUGCCAUUCCUCCCCUGCAGCCUGCACGGCAGAGGCUGUUUGGGAGCCUCUGUGGGAGUUACUGCUACGUCAGUGAGUACGUACAAGUUUAGAAGUAAAAAUAUGACUCAGAAUAGCUCCGCCUUACUCCUAUUCCCUAGAAAAACAACUUCAACAAGGCUUACUUUGAGGCGUCUGCGAGGCGCUGAGGGUAUGAAAGUGUGUUGCAGAGCGAGCAAGCUCAUAUCAUCAAACGCAGCCAGCCAGCACAGAAAGUUAAGCAGCGCAGUGUUGUGUUCAUCUAAAGUGGCCGGGAAUACAAUAAGAGGUGAAUCUCCUUUCAGAACUGCAGCAAAUCGUUUUCCCUGGGCAGAUUUUGAGGACUGCUGUUUUUAUUCUUGUCUUUCUUCCCAGCCGUUUUGGAUGUGACUGAAACUGGCUGUUGCGAGGGUUGGAUUCCAACCGAACGAGCGGGCUUUGCUCUAGCCUCUGCCUGACCUUGGGUUAUAGGCACUUCAGAAAGCAAAGGCAGAGCUGCACAAACAGCCCACUGCUCCUCUCCCUCGCACCGGCUCCGUGAAUGCAACUCGCCAUGGGUUGCCAUCGGGGAGGGAGUUUGGCACCCCGUCUGUCCUGGAAGACAAUGUGGGACUGCUUUGGGAAAAAUAAAAAAAAAAAACAAAACACGAAAGUUGCUUAGGAAAUGAUUGCUGUUGUAUUCCUUCCCAGAGCAGAGGGGAGAGCUGAGUGUAUGGGGGGAACGGGCAUGCAGGAGACGGCACAAAUGCACUAUGCAUUUAUUUCUAAGUAGUAAAACAUCAGUCAUCUUAUACCAGUUAUUCUCCGUGAUGUUUAUGUAUUUGUGCUGAACACGGGAUAACAGAGCAUAUAGGGAUAUAUAAUAUUAGUGAAGAAGAAAAUGACUGCUGUAGUACUUUCUACUCUCAGUCCCUUCUCCAGCAAUGCCCUUACACCUUUCUUUUUCAGGCUUUUUGUAGCAUCCUAAACAGAGGGAUAUUGAAGGGAGCUGAUUCUGCUUUGAUCCUUAUGCUUGUUGUCAAAGCGCUUGGGAUUGAAGAGACUGUUGGCUACAAUUGACUGUGACAAUUAGGAGAUGAUCAGAGCCCUAGAGUGGAGCACUUAAAGGAGGUGGCAUUGGCUCCCAUUUGGUGGUCAUCUCCCAAAAAGAAGACAUGACUAUGUAUUCCAGUUUGAGAACCAGAGGGAAAGGCUUUACUCUGUCACGAUUAUGACCAGGUAGUCUUUGCUAUCCAGAAGUCUGUUGCCAUCAGAAUCCAGAGACUAUGUUUCUGGGGAAGUUUUGUGGCUUUCAGUAAAAGUAAUGUAAAAGUAAAAGUAGUGCAUAGUGCACACAAUGUGUUUGAUUUUGCUCCCAGUGUCAGACCCUAGUGAAACACCACCAAUGUGAACAGAUUUGGGAUUUCUGCUCCUCUGUGUAGGGUAAGGAUCAGGUCUAUGGGACCACCAGAAUGCCUUCUCCGUAGUUUUGUGCUUUACAUCCUUAGGUUUUUGGUGCAUUAAACAGCAGACAAUGAGGUUUCAAUUUCUAAAAUUGUACUAGAAACAUGUUUUAACCUGGCUUCUGUACAUGGCGAAGAAAUACUUCAAACUACUUCUAAGCUGAUUAAUGUUGUGCAGCAUUCCCCCUCAUUUUAAUUUAAAGAAAAUCUUUCCAUACAUAGGUUUUCUCUGUUAGGAGAAUUGUUAUGUUGUGUUGCCAUUUUCUCCAGGAUGCUGUAAAUGAAAGACGGUGCCUUUUGCCCUCCCUUCUAACUAAACUUCUUGAACAUCCCAAUGUUUGUAUGUGCUUGUCUCUGUAUCCAAUGUAAAGAACAAACAGGAAUAAAUAAGAUAUGAAGAGUAAACAGUAUAAUGACAGGGGGAGUCUGGAAUGACUUUGGCUUUGUAUGUGUCUGCAGAACCAAGGCAGUGGUAAAUAUGUAUCAAAAAAAAAAAAAAAAAUCAGCAUAGCAGGAGGUCCUCGUCUCCCAGGUAAUGGCUAAAUGACGAGCAGAUGAGCCGUCGUCAUAUUGAUUUAAGCAUUUUGUUCCAGCCAGUCAUGAUUAACUUUGAUUUGUUUUUACUUUCCUCUUACAGGUUUGCAUUUAAAGGACUCUCAGAAAACUAAUUGUAAAAAAUUCUAGUAACUGCACAUUCUCUUGCUGGAAAGGUAAUGGGUGGAUGGACAGAUGGAUGGAUGCUUUAAGGUUUCCCUACAUUCUAUUUAUUUAUUUAUUUAUUUAUUUAAUGAGAAAGAAAGUUUUACUCAAUGGCUAUGCAUUUUAGGAAAUACCUCUGGGGUGUAAGUCAAAGUCUAGCAGGAGACUUUUGGAAUGUAAACUUGACUAGAAGUUAACUGCAAUCAUUUUUUUUUUCCUAUGAAUUAUCAAAUCUACUGUUCCCAUUACUGAAUAUAAUUUUAAAAUAAGUUAAUGUACAUAUUGAUCAUAAUGCCAGAAAGCAUAUUACAGCGUCCCUAUAAUUGCCUUUCUUGCUCAAAAGUACAUAGAGCACAAAAGUCUACAUACAGUAAAAGUAUAUUUCCUUAUGCAACCCUGGGUUAUACAGAUUUAAUACUAAAUUAGGUUUUAAGUUCAUGAAAAUAAAUCAUAUUGUUACAACUGCUCUUUAUAUGUAAGAAAUCAUAUUUAUAAUAGGAUAUUAUAUUAGUUCACCUGUAUAGGUGUGAAAUAGUUAAAGAUCAUGACAAAUUAUGUGUAGUGAAAUAGUAUGACCCCGUUCAGUACCUAUCUCCUUGUUCAGUCUGAAAUAUAACUCUUUAUUGCUUUGUGAAUUAAUAAUAUGAUGUCGGACAACUACAGAUGACUUCUUGUUAAUUAGAAUUAGAAUUUCAGAUGCAUGCUAUGAUGCAUCAGAACUUUCUCUAUUUUCUGCUAAUAGGGCACACUGAAUGAAUAGCAAAAUGUUUUUUAAGAGCAGGAGGGGAAAAUGAUCUCCUGAUCUAAAUAAGAUGUUACUUUGAGGAAAGGCACCUAACUUAUUAAUGACCACUUUUCAUUGAAAUCUUUCAAAAUUGUGGCACUUCUCAAGGCUGAGCAAGUGUUGGUAUAGGCAGCCUCAUUGUAAAAGUCACCUGUUCUCACUGGGGACAGAGAACAUACUGAGCAUAUGGCUUACAGUUACUUAAAUUCUUCUUUAUUAAUUGGCUUUUUAACUUAACCAGACCAGAUCUUCAAGUAAUAAAAAAAUGCACAUAGCUCCACCAUUAAUGGUGGAGCUGAAGAUAUGCUCGGCAAAAGAUGUUUUAUCUGAUAACUAUCAGAGGUGGUAGGAAUACCCUUUGAACACAUCUUUGGUUGUACUAUGGCUCUGGAGAGCCACAUCGUAAGUGAUUUUGAAAACUUACCAGGCAUUCCUCGUCAUCUUCCAGCUCAAAAAUAGUUUUGAAAAAUCUUACUCUAGGCGUAAUUAAUAUUAGUGGCCUAUUUCAGGUUUCAUUGACCUCAAAUAUUUUUUAAACUAAGUCUGAGAAUUGAGCCUUAGCUGAUAUAUUUUCCUUUUUAUUUCAGACUAAGGCUGACUGUGGAAUUUGGGUUAAAAACUUCUAUUCCAAUGAAGUUUUCAAAAACAGGAAAAAAGGAACAGCUUGGUGCAGGUUGUUUUUCAAGAUUCCCUCCCAAAACGCAGAGCUAGGGCCAGAUUUACUGCCAAUGUAAAUGGCAUUGGCUCUGUCGAGGCAAACGGAGCUGAGCUUGUUUCUACCCAGCGAGCGUGUAGACCCAAGCUUUGCUUUUCAAAGGCAAACACCUGCUAAAGCUGAAUCGUGAACUUUUGGAGAUUUUUUUUUCUUAUGAGUGCCUAUACAGUAAGUUCAUUAAGAUGGCUCUAAUUUCAGCUAGUCUCCUAACUUUGCUGGCCUGUGCCAUGUCCUGUAUGUCAUAGACCACUGAAGGCUUUGGAGGCUCUGCAGGUGUAAGGACAGCCCUGACCAGUAAAGCCACUAUCCCUCAAUUAGGGAUACAGAUAAAACCAGACCAUGCUCACACCUGUUGGUGAGUCUGUGUAUGUUGGCUGGUGCCAGUGCUCCAUUUUGGUGUGCCCAAGCAAAGUUCCCUUUCUUCUGCAAUAACUACAGCGACUGAAGUGGAGCCACUAAUUCGCUGCAAUGACAGCAAAGGCAAGCUGAAAGGGGAAGAAUCAUUUCUAUUUGCCUUCAGAAUGCUGAGACUCCAAUAAAAAAAGCGUAAGAAAUAUUGGGCAAAAUAGAGAUCUGCACAUACAUAUUAAUUCAUUAUUUAUAUCAUCCAGAUUUUAACAGUUAGCAAUGGUGAUGACAUGAAUAUUAAACUGCAGUGCUAAGGUGGCUGUUGGGUGAAGGACAAUAGAGACGAAACACUUAGUCCUGGCAAAGUGGUGAGGCACCUCGGUUGUGCCCAGUGCCACCGAGACAUACAAUCGAGCAUUUAAUGCCUCCCCAGCCUGAGUGUUUGCCUGCCUCUCUUAAAUAAAGGCAGUUUUCUCUGCUGUACCAGGUACAGAGCAAGAGGUGGGCCAAAGGAUGAGAUGACAGCUACGGCUUUACUCUGAGUGGGUUGUUGUGUGCCUCAAAAUGCAGGGAAGGUGUUAGUGCUAUUCUACAUGUUAUUAUGUGUUAUCGCAAUCUAUGUCAUCCUAUCAUGACUUAGGAGUGCAAAAUCCUCAUGUCAUACAUGAGGCACCCUUGGUACCCACCACUUUAAACUUCAUGGUGUUGAUGCUGGCUCUGGAUAUGAGUGGAAGAGUAACCCAUGUUACUUUCUGCUCACCCUCACGUAGGUGACAUCAGUGGAACAAUGGUGAUCUCUAUCAUCUGGAAAUCACAACGAUCUUAACUGGACUCUUCCUCUCUUGAGUAAAAGAAAAGAUGGUAAAUAAACAGGCUCCCAAAGCACGUCUGUAUUUAUUGUUGGCUCUUUAAAGGAAACGACACUUUUCAUUAUCUGAAAAAUAAAUGGAAAUGCUUUACUCUGCUUGAAAGGAAAAUCAUGGAAACAAGUCAGAAUUCCAUUUGGCUUUCCUAAAUAGAGGUACCAGGAUUUUAUAAGCCAGAUGGCAUUCCAUAAGAAUAAUUUCUUAUAACCUUUAUUAUGCAGCAUACAUGCUUGGAUGCUAAACAUGUUCUUCCUUUUGCUGUUGGAUGUGCAUACACUGGACAAGAUAACAUGGCACAUGGUAGAAGUGAACUAAGCAGCAAGCCACAAGCAAGGUAUCUCUCCCUGAACUUUGAUAAGCAAUGCCCCACAGUGCAAGGAAGCACUGCUUGGUGGUGUUUGCUUUGCCUGUGUGAUAAAUCCUUAGCUGAAGGAGGAUGUGUUCAGAAGAGAGAAGUUUGGAGAACAGGGCUGAAGAAACAUGCAGCCUUUAUCAUACCUGUGAUCACAGACUUCUGUUGAAGGUAGACUAAGGGGUAACUUUUGAAGCUGUGGGGCUGCUUUCCCACCCGCCUGCCAGUAAGGAGCUGAUUUCUGUGGCUCAGAAGCUGAUUUUCUGGUGCUGGCAUGCAGGAGAGGCACGCACCGAUGUAACACACUCGCACUUCCUACAGCAAGCAUAACCUUCAGCACAACUGCAGAGAAACAAAGAUUGUCUCUGACCAGAACUUUGGCUUUGUUGCAUAAGCAAUUAACAGCUUAGAGCAUGCAUUUGGAAAUAAAGCAGAAAACAAUUUUUUAAUUUUAUUUUUAUUUUUUAAAGUAGUGCCUGAGCCAUAUUUCCCAGUUAUUUAUGCAGUGGUAUGCACGGAGUACCUUGCUCCAGUGAGUGGCAUUGCCGUGCAUGGAGCAGGGAACUGCUCUGGAGCUCCAAGCCCUCUGGUUUCAGGGCCUCAGCUGGGGUGGCACAGUGCAAAGUGGCACCAUUGCAAAAGCAAAUCAAACCUUUCUGUAGCAACAUGCAAAGAGAAAUUUAAGUUAUCAGUUUUGAGCAUCUUACUUGCUAAGUACACACAGAAGUGUCUCAUGAAGUCCACGGUUUGACUGUGUUUAGAUAAUUUCAUGCAGGCUUUUGUUACUAUCCAAGAUGCCAACCAGGCACAGGAAUCACAUGGACUUUUGGCUGGACAUGUGCCAGAGACAGGGCCAAGAAACUCAGGGAUUCGGGUAUGACAGCAAAAAUCCAAGUGUCCACAGCCUGUGUCACCAGAUUCAGAAGGAUCUGGACCCACUUACACCAGCAUAAGCUGGGCCCUAACCCCACGCCAUUGUAAAACCGAGGUGCCUGGGAGGAGAACUCGAGUUUGCAGUGCUUUAACUGCGUCUGAGGCUGAUGAGAAAAUGAGCUUUGACAUUCUGAAUUCAUGCUGAAAAGUGUAAGGGAAAAUGGGAUGAUUAUUAUUAAUAAUCAGUGGCAGAAGUCAAAUGUCUGAAGUACUAUUUGAACUGUAACGAUACCCUUUAAAAACUUUGAAAUGGACUAAUCAUAAAAGUUUAAAAUGUGGAAUAUUAAUUCAUGUGC